UGUGUAGGCGGCUUUUUAAGUUUGGUGUGAAAUCUCCCGGCUUAACUGGGAGGGUGCGCCGAAUACUGAGAGGCUUGGAGUGCGGGAGAGGAGAGUGGAAUUCCUGGUGUAGCGGUGAAAUGCGUAGAUAUCAGGAGGAACACCGGUGGUGUAGACGGCUCUCUGGACCGUAACUGACGCUGAAACACGAAAGCGUGGGUAGCAAACAGGAUUAGAUACCCUGGUAGUCCACGCCCUAAACGAUGCAUAUUUGGUGUGGGUCAUUCAGUUGAUCCGUGCCGGAGCUAACGCGUUAAAUAUGCCGCCUGGGGAGUACAGUCGCAAGGCUGAA
rnacentral:rRNA from 1 species